UGUCGGUGGGAGAAAUCGACUUGGCUUUUUAUUUCUAUCAGUCAGUCUUUUUCUCUCUCCUAUA
rnacentral:pre_miRNA from 1 species